rnacentral:sRNA from 1 species
CUAACUAAGCAGGCAUUAUCGAAUCAACAUGUUAAAGCCAAUACCCUCUC